CCUAGUGCUCGGUAGUAACGCGGUUAUGGAUCAUUACAUGUCAACAUGUCACUUCUGAGAGUGUCUGCCUUUGUUAAAUGCCUAAACCGUCGCAGUUUGUUUGAAAAGUGUGCUGUUCGCGUGUCUUUUGCGGACUGCUGUCGGCUGUGUGCGUCAUUAAGGAACAGUACAGUCAGGAGAUUAUCAGAGACUCCCUUUCAGCUCCAAAGAAGAAAUGUUUCAUUUGUUCUCCCGAAGGCAGAUGAUGGAAAGAGACGUGUGCUGGAGCAGUCUCAGUUGUUAGAUGUGCUUGAGGCAAGGAUACACCAACUCCAGUCUGAUGUCGUUCUAGAUUUCCAGCAUGCAAAGGUGCAGUUUGUUAAAGCCCCUUCCUCUGGGAGAGGGAGUUUACCCAGUAAGGGUCCCAAAGGUGGCUCUCAAGAAAAAACUGACGUUACAAAAUCAGGACAGACUGGUCCAAAGGGAGCCUCUAAAUCUCAGCCCAGCAGAUGGAUGGAAAAGUUAUCUCAGGAGAAGAAAAUCAAACUUAAGAAACAGCAACACAUCCAGCAGAAAAUCCAGAAUAAGCCUACAGCCAAAUCUAAAGGUAGCAAAGGCAGCUCCAUGCUCCCUGGCACAUCACACAAGACUAUUUCUACCACAGCUAAAAAGACAAAAAGCAAAGGUCACAAGAGGUUGGCUGAUGAGAUUCAGGCUGCAGUUUCUUCAACCGCUUCCUCCACUGCUGCUCCUGCUGCAGUAGUGACGGCAGCCAUGCCGCAUAAAGCUGCUGAAGGAAAACAGAAAAAGCUGAAAAAACAGGUUCCUGCUGAAGAGGGCCAACAGAAAACUGUUCCUGAUGCUGAGAGCAGGGCCAACGAGCUGGCUGAGUUGGAGGAGCUGGAGAGUAGGCUUAAUCUACAAGCAGGCCAGGCAAUGCAUUCCAGUAAGUCAGAGCGCCAACAGGAGGACUCUGUAGGAACUGCGUGUGGGGACCUCCAGAUGAGCAUUCACUCUUACCUUGAGGCAUGUGUGUUUGCGGGGGAAAAUGAGAGGGCGCACCGCUUCCUGCUCAGCCAGCACAGAGUGAUGAGUCGACGGAAACAUCUUAACACAGACAUCUACAACAUCAUGAUGAGGGUGUGGGCCAAGAAGGGCACAUUAAAUCAGAUUGGACGCAUGUUUAUCCUGUUAGAAGAGGCUAGUCUGAAGCCAAAUCUGGGAUCCUACUGUUCUGCCUUGGAAAGUAUGGGCCGCAAUCCCAACUGCUCCCCGAAGAUCGUCACCAGGUGCCUGAGCCAGAUGAAGGAGGAUUGUCUAUCGGUGGAGGAUUUGUUCAGCCAGUGUGUUUUCCGUCAAGAUGAGAGAGACAUGGUGCUGAAGGCAGUUCACAUUGUCCAGCCAGACUAUCAGCCCAAACUCAACCCCACCACGAGCGACUGCUUCUCACCAUUGGUUCAGGACUACUACAUACAGAGGGAAGACCACCAUUACCCCAAACUGAACUUCACUCAUGACGAGCUUCAGGAGCGUUUCAAACGUCAGCUCAGCAUUGAACAGGCCUGCACUAUCACCAUCGACUCCGUGGAGGGGUCUAAGCCUGUCUCUGAAAACAUGGCCAAAAUGAGGGAGCUGCUCGCACAUCAGCGGGCACAGUGGCAGAAGAUCCUCCUCCAGGCCCUGAGGGAGAGCAAGAUGAUCCUGUCUAACACUGACACCAAGAACUACAGGCUUAACCUUUAUCCCUACCUCUGUUUGCUGGAGGACAGGGAGUAUGUUGACAUCAUGAUACAGAGUGUUGCCAACAUGCCUCCAAGCGGAGAGUCACUGAAGAUCUUAGCCAGAGAACUUGGCAGCAGGGUCCACACCAAGUACUCUGUGCGGCAGAAGAACAAAAAUCAGACAGUGGAGAAGUUGGGCAACAUUUACAACGCUUACACAGAGCUGCUGGCCAAUGAUAGCAAGGCCUACUCCAUCCUUCCCAGGGAGCAGUGGUGUGUGCUGGAAAUGGAGCAGAGAUCUGGACCUACACUGCAGGGCGGGGAGAUCCACUGGCCGUACAUAGUCACUCUGGAGCUGGGCACUUUCAUGGUGGAUUUGGUGGUUAAGAACCUGAAGAUUAAUAGUGACAUCCUGAACCCGGCUUACGACAGGAAGCUCAUCCCUAUUCUCUACCACAUGUACACCUUUCGCAGCACACGGCAGGUUGGCUUCAUCAAGCCUCACCCCAUCCUGACUCAGAUGCAGCAGGACGCCAUGGAGACCACGUUAACCUUUGACUCCUAUGUGAUGCCCAUGCUGUGCCCUCCCAUGCCCUGGACUUCUGUCAGGUUUGGAGCAUACCUGCUGACACCCACCAAGCUGAUGCGCACAGUGGAAGGGGCCACACAGCAUGAGUUGUUGUUGGAGAAAUGCCAGAACCUCCAUGCAGUCUUUGACUCUCUUAAUCAGCUUGGCAACUGUGCCUGGAAGAUCAACAAACCCUUGUUGGAUAUAAUAAUCUCCAUCUUCAACGAUCGAGGUAGUGAAAAGCUGGACAUCCCUCCUCCUCUGUCAGAGGCCCCUAAAAUCCCCCACUUCAACCCCCACGAUCCCUCUUACACGGCGUCUGAGAAAGCCCACAUGAAGAGGCAGGUGAUUAACGCCAAAAAGAAAUGCAGUGAGAUGCACAGCCUGCGCAUGGAUGCUCUCUAUAAACUCUCCAUCGCCAACCACAUGAGGGAUGAGCUCUUCUGGUUCCCUCACAAUAUGGACUUCAGGGGACGUACCUACCCCUGUCCUCCAUAUUUCAAUCAUCUAGGAAGUGAUGUCACGCGAGCUGUCCUUGUGUUUGCAGAGGGGAAGAAACUUGGUCCUAAGGGUCUGGACUGGCUAAAGAUCCACUUAGUAAAUCUAACAGGACUGAAGAAGAAGAGCUCAAUGCAGGGGCGGCUGGAGUAUGCCAACACUAUCAUGGAGGACAUCCUGGACUCUGCAGACAACCCUAUCAAUGGUAAGAAGUGGUGGAUGAAUGCAGAUGAGCCUUGGCAGGCUCUCUCCUGCUGCAUGGAGAUAGCCAAUGCUGCGAGAUCCUCCGAUCCAACUCAAUUCAUCUCUCAUUUUCCCGUUCAUCAGGACGGCUCCUGUAAUGGUCUCCAGCACUAUGCUGCUCUAGGCAGAGAUGUUAUUGGUGCCACAUCAGUCAACCUCAUGCCCUGUGUCGUGCCCCAGGAUGUGUACAGCGGAGUAGCACAGCAGGUGGAGGAGUUCCGAGUGCGGGAUGCAGAGCAAGGUCUGAAGAUCGCCCAGGUCCUGGAGGGCUUCAUCAGCAGGAAGGUGGUCAAACAGACCGUGAUGACUGUGGUGUACGGGGUCACACGCUAUGGGGGACGCCUCCAGAUAGAGAAAAGGCUGAAGGAGAUUGAUGAGUUCCCUAAGGAGUUCGUUUGGGAUGCAUCUCACUACCUGGUGCGUUUGGUGUUCAGUGGCUUGAAAGAGAUGUUUACAGGGACCAGAGAGAUCCAGGAUUGGCUGACAGAAAGCGCCAGGCUCAUCUCCAAGUCUGGACACACUGUGGAGUGGGUGACACCCCUGGGUUUACCCAUCAUUCAACCUUACCACCGCACACGCAACCAAGUGCUGAAAAGUACCAUGCAACAUAUCAACCUCCAGAUCAGCCAUGACGCCAAAGAGAGGCCAGACACAGUUAAACAGAAGAACGCCUUCCCGCCAAACUUCAUCCACUCUCUGGACUCCACGCACAUGAUGCUGACUGCUCUCCACUGCUACAGUGCUGGCCUUACAUUCGUCUCCGUUCAUGACUGUUUCUGGACCCACGCCCUCACUGUGGACACCAUGAACAAGAUCUGUCGGGAACAGUUUGUCGCCCUGCACAGCCAGCCAAUCCUUCAAGAGCUGUCCACCUUCCUGCUACAGAAAUACUGCGGUGGGCUCUCGAUUGAGGCCAAGAAGAAGAAGUACCAGGAGUACAGGAGGCUGAUGUUGCUGCUGGCCAAAGUUCCACAGACAGGUGAUUUUGAUCUCCAGCAGGUGAAAGAAUCCACUUAUUUCUUCAGCUGAGAAGCUUGUGAGGGGAAACCAGUGGAGGGAGAUGAGUGGAAUUGACAGACUGCAGCAGGGAAGCCAAAGUCCUGGGGUUUCAAAUGGCUUUGUCUCCUUCAGACAUCAGUACAUUGAUCCAGCCGCGCCCUGCCUGUCUCCUGGUCCACAGGCUGGCUGGAGCUGCUGGAGCUGCUGGACGCAUUAACACACAGUGAACCUGCCUGAUUAACUGACUAGUGGGCUGAUUGGAGGAAGAAAGCGGGUGGGGGAGAGGGAGGAGGGGUGCAAUAGAUGGAGGAGUAAACCCCAUGGGUGGAAUAUUGAGUACCCAAUCAGUGAAAAUACAUCUUUUAUAAAGGAUACUUUAUUCUAUAUUCGGGUGCAUGUGUGAGUGUGUACACAUGAACAAUACUGACUGAAUCAUGUAUGAAACUGUUUCUGUCUUUAAUACUUAGCAGCUGUUCUGCUGUUCAGUAAUACUGAGCAAAAACAUCUCAACUGAAAAUUGUAAAUGCAAGCAACUGAUGUGUUAGUUCCUGUUGUGUGUGUGUGUGUGUGUGUGUGUUCUUUGGGUGAGCAGUAAACACCAUAUUUAUGCUAUCAGGCCAACAUCUUCAUUCUUCACAAAGUUAUUUCAGUCAUCAAGAAACAAAGUCAUCUUUUAAAGAUGCAGCAAUGCUUCUUGUAAAUGACAACAUUAUAACUGAACAUUUUCUCUCUUUAGAUGGAUAUACUGUAUGUCCUUACAAUAAUAUAACAUGAGAGUUGGAAGUGGUUUUGAUAAUAGCCAUGACAGACAGUUUAACAUGAGAGGAUGUGCUGCAGGGUAGGGUAGGUUAGUCUCCAUCAACUCAAAAAAAAGUCUUUAGGUUAUUGUUAUUUCACUUGAGUGUUUGGUCUUUACUGUGAAGAGUAAUGUUUGUGCAGAGAUUGAUGCUAGAAGGAGAUUUUGACAUUCAUCUGGUGAAAGCUCUUUGCUCCUCUUAAGUCUGAGUUAAACACAUGAAGUAAGGAUUUGUGACAUUACUUCCAUUAAGGAAGCUUGUAGUGGUCAAAUAUAUGAGUGUGUUGUGGAAAAUAUUUGACAUGGACUGAUUGGAAAUGAACACUUUUUAAGCAUGCUAGAUUUUUCUAGAAUAUUUUUCUAGAUUAAGUACAUUUUUCAAAUGUUUCUAGAAGUUUUAAUUCCGCCUAUAAAACAUACAAAUGAAAUGUUUGUAAUUUCACUUUGGUGACUGAACUGUUGCUCUUUUACACAACUUCACAAAAGAUGUGACUUUGUUUAAGGAGAGCACUGAAUCAGCUUGUAUUAUUUUAUACAUGUUGCAGUUGUUUGGCUCUCACAAACAUUUGACUUUACUAAAUCCGUGCAGAACAAUGGAGACACAUAAAUGAACAAAUAGGGAAAAACCUAAACUUCCUUUGUUUUCCGUUUUUCUUUAUGUCCAUGCUGUUCUGACUUUUUUUGUGUGGUUAACAGAAGAGUUAGUUGGACACAGACCUACAGGAUCAUCUAAAUUCUAUUUCUCUCUCUAAAGUUGCUUGGAGAGCCCCAAUGCUGCCCUCACUCCCAAAAAAAGCAUACACAGAGAGGCAGACACUCGGUCAAUGCUCAAGUCCACUUG